rnacentral:rRNA from 1 species
GGGGAAUAUUGGACAAUGGGGGGAACCCUGAUCCAGCCAUGCCGCGUGUGUGAAGAAGGCCUUUUGGUUGUAAAGCACUUUAAGCGAGGAGGAGGCUACUGGUACUAAUACUACCAGCUAGUGGACGUUACUCGCAGAAUAAGCACCGGCUAACUCUGUGCCAGCAGCCGCGGUAAUACAGAGGGUGCGAGCGUUAAUCGGAUUUACUGGGCGUAAAGCGUGCGUAGGUGGCUUUUUAAGUCAAAUGUGAAAUCCCCGAGCUUAACUUGGGAAUUGCAUUCGAUACUGGAAGGCUAGAGUAUGGGAGAGGAUGGUAGAAUUCCAGGUGUAGCGGUGAAAUGCGUAGAGAUCUGGAGGAAUACCGAUGGCGAAGGCAGCCAUCUGGCCUAAUACUGACACUGAGGUACGAAAGCAUGGGGAGCAAAC